rnacentral:lncRNA from 1 species
GGAUGAGAUUCUAGGAAUUUCAGUAUCUAAUAAAUAAAAAAGCAAAGGAUUAAAGAAUGCAACAAUCCUUUAAUAUAUAAUUCAUGUAAUUUAUAUUGUAAAGAAUGUUUUCAAGGAUGAAUUACAUAAAAAAUGUGCCAACAACUUUUUCAUAACUUGUAAGGUUCCAAGUGGUAAGCGAAUUAAGAAACAGUACUUUAAGUAUAAUAUGAUAAAUGUCGUAAACUAUUCUUUUAUUAGACUAAAAUAAGAUAAUGAAGAUAAGCUUUUAAUUUUGGUUGAAUUAUCACACAAUCGGUGUAGAAAUAUGAUUAUCUCUGUCAUAAAGAGCAGAGUUGUGUAUCUAACAGCGGUCAUAUUCAUAAAUGAGAGUUAAUGAAAUGUUACAGCUUAAGUGGAUGCCUUGUAAGUCGAGAAAUGGGAGUAGUGUUGUAUAUCAAACGGUUCUAUAAAAGAGAUGACAGGGAAGCAGUACAAGGAUUGAAGUACAUACGAAGUCAUUUGAGUUGAUUUGGAGACGUUCAGACUAACCUUUUAAGGAUGUCAGACAGAUUUAUCCCUAGUUUAUGAGUGUUAUAAAACAGAAAAGUGAUAAAUUAUGAGAAAUUGAAUGAAGUGUAACUUGAGUUGAAUCAAAACACGAUAUAUUUAUUUAUUUAUUUAUUUAUAGAGAUAUGAUCAAGUGGAAGGUGUGACAUAUUUUAACCCUGUUCUCCAUAAGUUGUGUUUGGUGGAUGAUUGACAGUUAUGAUGAUGAGACUAUCCAUAAAAGUUAAUGAGAAUCCCUGGACAGAAAUCAAUGAUCUUCAUAUGCUGUGGAUUUUUUAUGUUUCUGUAGUAUCACGGCUAGAAAAACCAGUAAAAAGAAGCAUUAAGACGUCUCAUAGAAAAUUAAAAAAGGAAUUUACAAUGGAUUGCAAUGGAUGACACUAAAAAUAGUUCUUAGGCUGAAGAAGAAUAAAUUUACAAAAGCGAGUAUCUAUCGCACGAUGUUUUCUAAACAGGAUUCGAGAAGACAAGCCGGAAAUCUCGUCACCUGAAAUCACACAAAAUAGUGUGACACCGACUCCCUUUUUCUUCAUUGAAGUGGACUAAAGAGAAGAAAAUUAAACUUCCCAGAGAGAAGUUCAGAAAAUUAACCUCGAAUCCAAUGAGUUUCGUCAAUAAAUUUCCAUUGAAACCCGAAAAAAACCUAGUGCAAUCAAUGAGCAAGCGUGACCCAGAAAAGCCUACAAUAUGUGCUCGCCUUCUUCACAAGAAGGCCAAAAGAGAGCAACGAGAAGGCACUCACCUGAACAGCGCACGGAGAAGAAGAAGAAGACAGAUAUAAAUUCACCGAGUCUCCCCAAAUGGAAGACGACCGGUAGCUGGGAAGAACAAGCCAGCGACCAGAAUAUCGCCGCGCCACCUCGCCACCAACAAAAACGAGGAACUGCCAGUUGAUAAACUCAGAAUGCAGGGAAGUAGCAGUUCAGGGCACGAAUUCCUGCUCGAUCCUUGCCGUUCCGAAUAUGAGAUCUGACUUGGAAGGCCACAAGAUUUUUCGACUAGAUCUUCCUAAGCCACCCCCAGCUGAGAUCAUACGGACGCAGAAGGCAAAGGCAGACGCGUUAGGCGGCGGAGGCGCCGCCGCUCAAUGGACCUUCUGAAAUUCUCCGCUGGCCACGGUCGCCGACGGGAUCGAUCGCCGGUGAUCAGAGUGGGUCGGGCGGAGGGGGCGUAGGAGGUUUCCGUUUGACGACGGCCUCAAACGAGACGCGAAGUCAUACGACUCGGUCGAAUCGCGGCGACUCGGCCCGGUGGCUACCUU